CACUAAACAAAAUUGUAAUUGUUAUUUACAACCUCGUAAUCUUUUGUAAUUGGGAUCACUAAAUUGCACACAUUCUCUAAAGCUGUAAUUAAUUGGGUUGUUAACCUCAAUGGUGGACCAUUAUCUUUACAAGAAUUAUACAAUACAUGUUGCAGAAGUUACUGAGCUACUAAAACAAAAGCAAGAAAUGAUAAUGGGGAUGAAAAGAAAAAAGUGAGAAUCCCAUUAGAUAACCAAACUUCUCUCUGUACAAAAGAGACUAAUUAAUUAACAUCAUUAGAUUACCCAGUUUCUACUCUCUCUCUCUCUAUUUGAACCAAAAACUUAUGGAGUUUCCAAGUUCCAAAUACUAGCUGGGGACUCCAGCCCUUCUGCUGCGAAAAGAAAAGAUAGAAGCAAAAGAGUGAGCCAGACCCAAUACUAUUGCCACCUUCACUUGACCUCUCUUGGGGAUCAAACGCCCAGAAUAAAGCCUCUGUGACUGUGAGUAAUUUCCUCGAUUGAUCGUACUUCUCCUAGCACCAGCUGAUGCCAUUCCUUUCUUUUCUUCCUUCUUUUUGGAGACUGCGAACCUUAGAGAGAGGAUAAGGCUGCUGUCUUGUUCUUGGUGGGUGAUGUCUAAUUGAGGAGUUGGUUAUAUAAAGAGGAGGUGGC
rnacentral:misc_RNA from 1 species